rnacentral:rRNA from 1 species
ACGGGUGAGUAACACGUAGGCAACCUGCCCUCAAGUUUGGGACAACUACCGGAAACGGUAGCUAAUACCGAAUAAUUGUUUUCUUCGCCUGAAGGAAACUGGAAAGACGGAGUGAUCUGUCACUUGGGGAUGGGCCUGCGGCGCAUUAGCUAGUUGGUGGGGUAACGGCUCACCAAGGCGACGAUGCGUAGCCGACCUGAGAGGGUGAUCGGCCACACUGGGACUGAGACACGGCCCAGACUCCUACGGGAGGCAGCAGUAGGGAAUCUUCCGCAAUGGGCGAAAGCCUGACGGAGCAAUGCCGCGUGAGUGAUGAAGGUUUUCGGAUCGUAAAGCUCUGUUGCCAGGGAAGAACGCUUGGGAGAGUAACUGCUCUCAAGGUGACGGUACCUGAGAAGAAAGCCCCGGCUAACUACGUGCCAGCAGCCGCGGUAAUACGUAGGGGGCAAGCGUUGUCCGGAAUUAUUGGGCGUAAAGCGCGCGCAGGCGGUCAUUUAAGUCUGGUGUUUAAUCCCGGGGCUCAACCCCGGAUCGCACUGGAAACUGGGUGACUUGAGUGCAGAAGAGGAGAGUGGAAUUCC